rnacentral:rRNA from 1 species
CCUACGGGGGGCAGCAGUGGGGGAUAUUGCACAAUGGGGGAAACCCUGAUGCAGCGACGCCGCGUGUAGGAAGACGGUCCUCUGGAUUGUAAACUACUGUUCCCAGGGACGAAGAUGACGGUACCUGGGGAGGAAGCUCCGGCUAACUACGUGCCAGCAGCCGCGGUAAUACGUAGGGAGAGAGCGUUGUCCGGAAUUACGGGGUGUAAAGGGAGCGUAGGCGGGGAUGCAAGUUGGGUGUUAAAUCUACCGGCUCAACUGGUCGUUGCACUCAAAACUGCAGCUCUUGAGUAAAGUAGAGGCAGGCGGAAUUCCUAGUGUAGCGGUGAAAUGCGUAGAUAUUAGGAGGAACACCAGGGGCGAAGGCGGCCUGCUGGGCUUUUACUGACGCUGAGGCUCGAAAGUGUGGGGAGCAAACAGGAUUAGAUACCCGUGUAGUC